GUGUCAGCAGCCGCGGUAAAACGUAGGAUCCGAGCGUUAUCCGAAUUCACUGGGCGUAAAGCGCGUGCAGGCGGCCCGAUAAGUUAGGUGUGAAACCUCCCGGCUCAACUGGGAGAGGACGCUUAAGACUGUCGGGCUCGAGGGUGGUAGAGGGAGGUGGAAUUCCCGGUGUAGUGGUGAAAUGCGUAGAUAUCGGGAGGAACACCAGUGGCGAAAGCGGCCUCCUGGACCACAUCUGACGCUCAGACGCGAAAGCUAGGGGAGCAAACGGGAUUAGAAACCCUUGUAGUCC
rnacentral:rRNA from 1 species